AGCCCAGAGCCUGAAUCAGUGUGUGUGUUAGUGGAAGCGUCUGGAAAGGCGCGCGAUACAGGGUGACAGCCCCGUACACAAAAAUGCACAUGCUGUGAGCUCGAUGAGUAGGGCGGGACACGUGGUAUCCUGUCUGAAUAUGGGGGGACCAUCCUCCAAGGCUAAAUACUCCUGACUGACCGAUAGUGAACCAGUACCGUGAGGGAAAGGCGAAAAGAACCCCGGCGAGGGGAGUGAAAAAGAACCUGAAACCGUGUACGUACAAGCAGUGGGAGCACAGAGCAAUCUGUGUGACUGCGUACCUUUUGUAUAAUGGGUCAGCGACUUAUAUUCUGUAGCAAGGUUAACCGAAUAGGGGAGCCGAAGGGAAACCGAGUCUUAACUGGGCGUUAAGUUGCAGGGUAUAGACCCGAAACCCGGUGAUCUAGCCAUGGGCAGGUUGAAGGUUGGGUAACACUAACUGGAGGACCGAACCGACUAAUGUUGAAAAAUUAGCGGAUGACUUGUGGCUGGGGGUGAAAGGCCAAUCAAACCGGGAGAUAGCUGGUUCUCCCCGAAAGCUAUUUAGGUAGCGCCUCGUGAAUUCAUCUCCGGGGGUAGAGCACUGUUUCGGCAAGGGGGUCAUCCCGACUUACCAACCCGAUGCAAACUGCGAAUACCGGAGAAUGUUAUCACGGGAGACACACGGCGGGUGCUAACGUCCGUCGUGAAGAGGGAAACAACCCAGACCGCCAGCUAAGGUCCCAAAGUCAUGGUUAAGUGGGAAACGAUGUGGGAAGGCCCAGACAGCCAGGAUGUUGGCUUAGAAGCAGCCAUCAUUUAAAGAAAGCGUAAUAGCUCACUGGUCGAGUCGGCCUGCGCGGAAGAUGUAACGGGGCUAAACCAUGCACCGAAGCUGCGGCAGCGACGCUAUGCGUUGUUGGGUAGGGGAGCGUUCUGUAAGCCUGCGAAGGUGUGCUGUGAGGCAUGCUGGAGGUAUCAGAAGUGCGAAUGCUGACAUAAGUAACGAUAAAGCGGGUGAAAAGCCCGCUCGCCGGAAGACCAAGGGUUCCUGUCCAACGUUAAUCGGGGCAGGGUGAGUCGACCCCUAAGG
rnacentral:rRNA from 1 species